rnacentral:sRNA from 1 species
AAUAAUGAUAAGUUAAGCGUUUACAAAUUUAGAAGGAGUGAAGAAAAUGGGAACAAUCGUUUGUCAAUCUUGCUUGAGUACAAUGGAUCACUUUGAAGAUGAGAAAGUUUCUAUUUUAUACUCUCAUUGCGGCUGCGAAGAAGAGACCGAAUUAGAUGACUAAUAGAAAAUAAAUGAAACAUAUAAAAGAGCUGGGAACAGAUCAUCUGCUCCCAGCUUU